UUGUUUGUUAAGAUACAUCACGUUCAUUACACAGAGUAUUGUAAAGAUAUCAGCUGGCCACUGGGGCCCACCGACGGGUUCACAGGUGUGAGGAUAUGAGAUGUAGGCCUCUCGGCCAAAUCACUAAUGAUCCUUCCGCAGGUUCACCUACGGAAA
rnacentral:misc_RNA from 1 species